rnacentral:lncRNA from 1 species
UUUCUUUUAGAAGACAUUGAAUUUUACAUUGAACUGCAUAAUCUCUUAAUUUGCUAUCCUUUUGCCCUUAGGAAAGUGAUGCAAAAAAUUGAUGCAUUUGAUCCUGUGAGAGGUUUUCAGGGAAUAUGUCAUCAUGGGUAUUCCACACCCAUAUUCCCCUUCUCCAUUUCCCACUUUACAUAUGAAGAACCUGAGAUAUCUGAAAACCUCCUCCUAACAACAAGUAUUUGUAUGAAAAAAAUUAGGAACUUGAUAUUUAGCUUGUUGAAGUCUGGUGGGAAAUGCAAGAAGAUGAAGCAAUAUCUCACAGCUGUGGAAAGAGGAUCACAGGUGUACCUACGUGAUGUCUCAACCUUUUAAAUAAGAAAAAUAAUAUGCUGUGCAUGAAAUAUUGGAACUUGAAUAUUACAGGUAAUUAAAUGUAUAUGUGCGUCUGUUCAUUCAAAAUUUGAUGUAAUUUGUUUUGUAUUUCCAUUUGCUUAAAACAGUUCCUGCUUUCUGUAUGUACUCCUUUAAAACGUGU